CCUUCGUGAUCGUAUCUCUUCCUACCAACUGGUGCAGGCUCUAAGAUCUGCCAGGGAGGCCCUCCUCCCGCUCCCACCACUGUCUCAAGUGUGGUUGGUGGGGACGAGGAAUAGGGCCUUCUCAAUGGUGGCCCCUUGGCUCUGGAACUCUCUCC
rnacentral:lncRNA from 11 species